GUCCACGCCCUAAACGAUGACGACUAGUUGUUGGAGGAGUUAAAUCCUUUAGUAACGCAGCUAACGCGCGAAGUCGUCCGCCUGGGGAGUACGGUCGCAAGAUUAAAACUCAAAGGAAUUGACGGGUGCCCGCACAAGCGGUGGAUGAUGUGGUUUAAUUCGAUGCAACGCGAAAACUUUACCUACCCUUGACAUGCUAGGAACUCUGCAGAGAUGCAGAGGUGCCCGAAAGGGAACCUAGACACAGGUGCUGCAUGGCUGUCGU
rnacentral:rRNA from 1 species